rnacentral:rRNA from 1 species
UACGAAGGUCCCAAGCGUUAUCCGGAUUUAUUGGGUUUAAAGGGUGCGUAGGCGGGUUAUUAAGUCAGUGGUGAAAGCCUUCAGCUUAACUGAAGAAUUGCCAUUGAUACUGAUGAUCUUGAGUAUGAUUGAGGUGGGCGGAAUGUGUCAUGUAGCGGUGAAAUGUUCUGAGAUGACACAGAACACCGAUUGCGAAGGCAGCUCACUAAGCCAUAACUGACGCUGAUGCACGAAAGCGUGGGGAGCAAACAGG